rnacentral:tRNA from 4 species
GCGGAGAUGGCGGAAUCGGCAGACGCGCACGUUUGAGGGGCGUGUGGGUAUCCCGUGCGGGUUCAAGUCCCGCUCUCCGCACCA